CAAACAAUCCUUCACCACUAGGUUGUUUCUUUUUUUCACAGAUUGAAGCUCAAUUUUCUUUGUUCUCAGGGUUGAUAUGAUGGCAUCUUCUUGAAUUAUCCCUAAGUUUUUAUCUGCAGACCCAAAAAUGGAGAAGAAAUCUGAUCCGAGAAGAAUUAGUGGUAGGUGACAGAUGUGGAGAGGAAAUGGCCACGUUGCUGAUUUGAGAACACCACGUGGGAGGAAAAUUGAAGAACACAAACAUGCACACAUAGAAAAUGAAGGAGAAGAAGAUGAACAAGGCAAUGUACGUGGUUAGGCCAAAGUAUGCCUACAUCCACGAGAAGGGGAAGUUGAUUUAUUAGAAGGCUAUAAGAAUGAAGAUAAGUUCUCUCUUUACAUAUUCACUCUAACCUAUGAAAUACAAACACAGAUACGGAUACACGAUAUGGAUACGACGAUUCGUCAAUUUCUAAAAAACUAAG